AGCGAACGCUGGCGGCAGGCUUAACACAUGCAAGUCGAGCGGGCACUUUCGGGUGUCAGCGGCGGACGGGUGAGUAACGCGUGGGAACGUGCCCUCUGGUUCGGAAUAACUCAGGGAAACUUGAGCUAAUACCGGAUACGCCCUUUUGGGGAAAGGCUUGCUGCCGGAGGAUCGGCCCGCGUCUGAUUAGCUAGUUGGUGAGGUAACGGCUCACCAAGGCGACGAUCAGUAGCUGGUCUGAGAGGAUGUUCAGCCACACUGGGACUGAGACACGGCCCAGACUCCUACGGGAAGCAGCAGUGGGGAAUAUUGGACAAUGGGCGCAAGCCUGAUCCAGCCAUGCCGCGUGAGUGAUGAAGGCCUUAGGGUUGUAAAGCUCUUUUAUCCGGGACGAUAAUGACGGUACCGGAGGAAUAAGCCCCGGCUAACUUCGUG
rnacentral:rRNA from 1 species